CCAGACUCCUACGGGAGGCAGCAGUGGGGAAUAUUGGACAAUGGGGGGAACCCUGAUCCAGCGACGCCGCGUGAGUGAAGAAGUAUUUCGGUAUGUAAAGCUCUAUCAGCAGGGACGAAGCAAGUGACGGUACCUGAGGAAUAAGCCACGGCUAACUACGUGCCAGCAGCCGCGGUAAUACGUAGGUGGCAAGCGUUAUCCGGAUUUACUGGGUGUAAAGGGCGUGUAGGCGGGAAAGCAAGUCAGAUGUGAAAACCAUGGGCUCAACCUGUGGCCUGCAUUUGAAACUGUUUUUCUUGAGUACUGGAGAGGCAGACGGAAUUUCUAGUGUAGCGGUGAAAUGCGUAGAUAUUAGGAGGAACACCAGUGGCGAAGGCGGCUUACUGGACUGUAACUGACGUUGAGGCUCGAAAGCGUGGGGAGCAAACAGGAUUAGAUACCCCAGUA
rnacentral:rRNA from 1 species